UUUCAAGAACCUUAUGUUUCUCCUAGACCCAGGUUUCGAUCCCUCUUGAAGAACGAGGAUGUUCGAGGAACGGUCGAAAGUGAUGACUUGGCCGUCGAAUUCUUCCCCUAAUGUGGUCUUGAUGGAGAGCAAGCAGCCCACCGCAAAGUCCUCGCUGCUGUUGCUACCUUCCAUGGCUGCCCCCUCUCUUGAUUCAGUUGCC
rnacentral:misc_RNA from 1 species